GAGGAGGAGGAGGUUGGUCUCCGAGUGUCCGCCGCCUCACCUCCGUCCACUCUGCGCGUCCAGGCCCAUGGCGAGUUGCUCCUCUGCGGCCAAACCAGACGGCGAUGUCAACCUGCGGCAGACAACACAAGGGGCGAGUAUUCCACGCGUGCCUACUGCUCCGAGCCCAGAUCCUCGAUUAUCCGCUCUAUCCUAUCACCCAGCUGGAGAUAACAGGAUUACUGCAGUAAACCUUCCCGGGCUGGCCUCCAUGUAAGCAAGGAGUCGGCUGGCAUCCCGUCAGGCCAUCCAGCUACAGAGUGACCCACGCACAGGAUCGAUCAUCAAACUUGCCAGACCAGGACUGGACGAAGUUACCUGACCCACUGAGUUAAUUUAGAUACGGUGUGGAAACAGGCCCUUCGGCCCACUGAGUCCGUGCCGACCAGCGAUCACCCCAUUCUAUCCAACGCACUUGGGACAAUCUUACAGAAGCCAAUUAACCUGCAUAUAUUUGGAAUGUGGGUGGAAGCUGGAGCACCUGGAGCAAACCCACAUGGUCCACCUAUGCACCAGUGUGCCCCCCAACACUGUUCCUCCAGCACUUUGCGUUUUGCUCCCUGUGUUUCCACAUUCUCCACUUUUAUUUCUCCUUAACAAGGUUCUAUUUCAAUAAUCACAGUUGCAAAGUACCAGGAACAUCAACACCGCUCAGCAGUUUCCAAACAUCAAUCAAUCAAUCCUCAGAUUACAACGUUAUCAUCAGUAUCCAGCGCACGCUCGGCAACCAGCGUGGGCACCGUGUGUUCCCUCGUUACAGGGCCCCGCGAACACGGACAUAGGCCUGGAGAAGAGGCCAGCAGUCGACUCUGGCGUGACCAUCGACCGCCCGCUGCCUGGAUCCUCGAAUGGACAAACCGACAGGGAGAUUCUCCCCCUCCCACCCUCCGCACCGGGUGACCAAAGAUCAGGAGCGUGGAGCCGAAACCUGAGGAGCAGCCCCUUCAGAUACUCAUCCAGGGGCUGCAACUUCCCGUACUCCAUAUACACGUGGAACACUGGUCUCUUCCUGCAGAAGGAGCGCUGCACUGCCGGACACACAUGGGAGCCGGAUUAUGCCACUCGGCCCCUCCAGUCUAUCCCGCCCUUCAGUCCGAUCACAAUGUUUGGGGGUUGGCACGGUGGUGCAGCGGGUAGAGCUGCUGCCUCACAGCGCCAGAGACCCGGGUUCCAUCCUGACUACGGGUGCUGCCUGUACGGAGUUUGCACGUUCUGCGUGGGUUUUCUCCAGUUUCCUCCCGCACUACAAAGACGUGCAGGAUUUAAUAUAAAAGUAAAUUGUCCCCAGUGUGUGUGUGAGAUAGAGCCAGUGUACGGAGCCAGUCGCAGAUUCAGCCUGUUGUGAUCCUUGUCCAGCAUGGGCACAAAGGGCAGAGUGGCCGCCAUCUAUAAUUAAAUGAGGAUUCAAGCCCUGGUUUCACAGCUAAGGGGAGAUGAGAAAUGGGGGUUCCCUUGCAGGGAGCUAGCAUGGAGCCUGAGGGCCGAAUGGCCUCCCGCUGAGUUUCCAAUGAAGAGGUGUAUGGGAGGAAGUUAGGAGAUCCCACUGCUUGAGAUCCUGGGAGGAGAUGACACUUGGGAGAUAGAUGGUGCAGUGGAGACUGAACACGCUGCAAACAAGGACAAAGCAAUACGUCAGGAGAUUUAUCUUAAUCGUGAAGAUAUCUGGGCUGUAGGAGUAUUUAUUCCGGCCACACACGGAGCCUCGAGCGUGCUGCCAGACCAGUCAACAUCUCUAAUUCCACCGUCCCAGACUGACAUGGGAUAGCAGGAGCAGCCGGGCGGAAAGGCGGCCCUGCCCUAGGAGAGGGGAGCAGCGUGGCUGGUGCUUAAAACAAGCAGAUGGUAGAACUGAAGCUAGACACAGAGUGCUGGAGUAACUCAGCAGGAAUGGCAGCAUCUCUGGGUGAUGUUUCAGACUCAGUCUGAAGAAGGGUCUCGACUUGAAACGUCACCCAUUCCUUCUCUCCAGAGAUGCUGCCUGACCCGCUGAGUUACUCCAGCACUCUGUGAAACGUCACCUAUCCAUGUUCCCCACAGAUGCUG